rnacentral:lncRNA from 1 species
UGAUAUGCUGAGAUUGGCUAGAGCUGAGGGCGAGUCAAAUUCGCUGGUACACUCGCUGCACUCCAUAAAAGGAAAACAAAGAAAAAUACAAGUAGGGCUCAGUACGGGGCAACAUGUACUGAGUAGGUAUCAUCGGCCAACCCAAAAUAGAAACUAAUAUACAAUGAAUAAUAGUAUAAAGUCAACUAUAGCACUUAGCAGGUGAUAAGAAACAACAACAUGAACAAGUGACAGUUAAAGCAGGUACGUAAUCGCUCACAAUAUCAAGCACACACACGAGGACUCAUGCCUCCACAGCACACUCGUUUGGGAAAUGCGUUCAUUGAGAUUGAGUACAUUAAGUUAAUUCAAUAUCUUUUUCCUUUAAUGUUACCGUGUCGGAACGUGACACUCCGAUCCAAAAAUACCGUGUCGGAACGUGACACUCCGAUCCAAAAAUACCGUGUCGGAACGUGACACUCCGAUCCAAAAAUACCGUGUCGGAACGUGACACUCCGAUCCAAAAAUACCGUGUCGGAACGUGACACUCCGAUCCAAAAAUACCGUGUCGGAACGUGACACUCCGAUCCAAAAAUACCGUGUCGGAACGUGACACUCCGAUCCAAAAAUACCGUGUCGGAACGUGACACUCCGAUCCAAAAAUACCGUGUCGGAACGUGACACUCCGAUCCAAAAAUACCGUGUCGGAACGUGACACUCCGAUCCAAAAAUACCGUGUCGGAACGUGACACUCCGAUCCAAAAAUACCGUGUCGGAACGUGACACUCCGAUCCAAAAAUACCGUGUCGGAACGUGACACUCCGAUCCAAAAAUACCGUGUCGGAACGUGACACUCCGAUCCAAAAAUACCGUGUCGGAACGUGACACUCCGAUCCAAUAAUAUUAUUAAUUUAUCAUUUAUUAUCACCACUUUUCAAUUCAUUAAUAAUAUUACAUCAAGCCUUCUUUAUUCAAGGCAUCACUUCGAUAGAGAAGUUUACAGAUUAUAAAUCUCACGGUCUCAGGAUUUUAGACCAAUCACAAACCACACAACCAAGCCACACAAUCACACAAUCAAGUACAUAGAGAACUUCACAAUAUCACUCAAUGCAUAUCAAUCACUAUUAAGAGUCUAUCUAUCAAAUAGAAUAAACCAUAACCUACCUCCACCGAAGAACCGAAGUCAAGCAAGCUACUUCUCCAAUACUUUUGCUUUCUUCAAUGACUCCGAACCUUUCCAAUCUAUCAAGUAGAUAUGCAUAAUUUGUAAGUUAACGAACCUAUUAACACUCAUAUUAUUCUGUGUCUCUUCUAAACCCAAAAACUCACCUAAUUCUAUAAUCAACUUAAUAUAUUCUUGAGUCAUAGCAAGAUAACUAUAGAAACAUUGGAACAUUUACUUAAGUGCUACUAACAACAACCCCAACUACGAAACAGAAAACAACCGAGAAAACAAUUUAACAGUCCUAUACCCAAUCUAAAUUUUAACAUAUAAUAUUAACAUGUACUACCUAUCGUUACUCUGUUUGGCCUAACUUUUCUCUCAACCUUCAUCUGACAGCAAUAACUAUACAUAUGCCAAUUAACACUGCCACUUUAGAAUAUAAUAAUAAUAAAUAAUCAAAGUUGAGGCCACUGGUUACGAAACCAGUGGCGAUACUUUUGAACCCAACAUAAAAAUCUUACUAUUGAAGAAAGCCACUUACAUAUAUAAAUAAUAAUAUAUACAUAUAUAGUAUCCUUCAAACCAUUGUAAUACCCUAUUCUCCUCACGUUAUUAAUUUACUUUGUUAAUCCACAAUUUGACCAGUGAUAAUCACGCCUACCACAUCAACCUGAACAACUUCCAAUUUUUAUCGGAUGUCGGCAAUUUCAAUUAUAAUAAUAACGAUAAUAACAUGAUUCAUACCAAUAUACCCAACACAAGAUUUAGGCGAAUGAUUUACCUGAAGUCUAGGGCACUCGCGUUCUUCUUUCGUUCACGCUGCUUUAUGUUAUUCCCCUCUUCCGUUCUUUUCUUUUCCUCUAUAAAUUAUUUUUACCCUAAUUAUAAUAUGACUAAUUAUAAGAGUG